rnacentral:lncRNA from 1 species
GAGGGAUAGACCACAGGCUGCUUGUUGUUCGGGUUUCACAAGUUUGCCCUCUGGUUUUACUGUUAAAGAGAGGGUGAGUGUUCAAGAAAAGGUUUAGUGAAUUCGUAGGACUAACGAAACAACAAUACGUGUUUUCUGCCCUGUAAAGGAAUUCUAGCCGCAUGAAUAUGUCUUGUUAGUACUCUGAAAUAAGGAAGUAACCGUGGGAGAGGGUAGCUGAGGGAAGCCAUCUGUUUGGGAAUGUUUCAAACCUGGGGCCUUCCAACAUUUCUGCAGCAGAAAAUCCCCGUUAUCAUUUUCCAAAUGUGCCUAAUGACAUUUGCUAAUUUUUUAAAACUAACGGGGAAAAUAAGCACAUUUAAUCAGAAAGUUUGGAAAAUAUUGAAUCAUUUGUGGUGCAAAUCAGGUUUAGAAAAUAUGGUUUCAGCCCUAUACACAGAUCUUUUCCGAUUCGAAUUCUUGUCUUUUUCAGAAUGUUCACUCUCCACAGCCUCCCAAUAUUUUAAGAUGCCAAGUUUAGUACUCAAAACCAUUAUAAGUAUUAUUCACAUGCAUCUGUAAGCAUUAACUUUGAAAAGUUCUUGAAGUCUUGUUACCUGGGAUAUCCAUACUAAAUGUUCCUUCUGGCCCGAGCACUUUCAUACUUACUGACAAUUUGUCAUCUUCUCAUUGUAAGUUACUCACGGUGCUGAGUUAGAGGUGCCCGGACUUGUCCUGAUAAAAAUCAUGCGAAUACUGUGGGCACACUCAGUUGAGUGUCUAUAAUCAGCUUGUAUUCUUGUGUUGUUGGUUCUCCUUUUAAACACAGUUGUAUCUCUCUGACGGUAAUGAUUUAUACUUCUGCUUCCCAAAAGACGUUUGGCAGGAACUUCAGCGACAUUAGCUAGGAACAAUAAUUUGAUGAAAUAAAUGUGCCAAGAUUUUACAGGAGCUUCACAGAGGUGGUGAACACAUUAAAGCAAGUUGUGUCUGAUA